CUUGUUACUAUGUGGAUUUUAGUCGUGUUUGUAUAUUCAUCCAUAUAUAGGGGUUGGAACUAGAUAAUCUUUAAGGUCCAUUCCAGCCCUAACCAUUGUAUGGUACGGUUCCAUAAUUUGAGAGAUUAUAAUAUAAUAAAUAAAUGUGUUCAAAGUAAUUUCUCUUUAUUUCAAGACUCCUUCAAGUCACUUCUCUUAAAGCUUAGAAAGUACAGCACUGUGUGCUUACCACAUAAUUGGAGAGACUGCAGCGUUUGCUGUGAUUUGGAAGCCAUGUGCCAUUCUAUUUUGAACAAAGAGAUUAAUUUCUUUGCUAAUGUCUGGCAGAACCAAAAAUUCAGACCCACCGGCUCCUGCUCCUUGUGAAGCCCCAGUGUGCGUUAC